rnacentral:rRNA from 1 species
UAAAAAUUUUUUAUAUAAUAAAGGAAUUCGGCAAAUAUAUUUUUCGCCUGUUUAUUAAAAACAUGUCUUUUUGUAAUUAAUUUAAGGUUUGACCUGCCCAAUGAGUAAUUUAAUGGCUGCAGUAUUUUGACUGUACAAAGGUAGCAUAAUCAUUAGUUUCUUAAUUAGAAGCUGGAAUGAAAGGUUGGACGAGAAAAUAACUGUCUCUAUUAUAAUAAUUAAGAAUUUUAUUUUUAAGUUAAAAAGCUUAAAUAUUUUUAAAAGACGAGAAGACCCUAUAGAGUUUUAUAAUAUAUUUUUAUUAAUUUAAUUUAUUUUAUUUUAAUUUAUUAAUAAGAAAAUUAUUUGAUUGGGGUGAUUAAAAAAUUUAAUAAACUUUAUUAAUAUAAUAACAUUAAUUUAUGAAUAUUUGAUCCAAUAAUUUUGAUUAUAAGAGUAAAUUACCUUAGGGAUAACAGCGUAAUUUCUUUUUAGAGUUCUUAUCAAUAAAGAAGUUUGCGACCUCGAUGUUGGAUUAAAAUUAAGUUUUGGUGUAGAAGCUAAAAUUUUGAGUCUGUUCGACUUUUAAAAUUUUACAUGAUCUGAGUUUAAACCGGUGUGAGCCAGGUUGGUUUCUAUCUUUAAAUAAUCAAUAUAUUUUAGUACGAAAGGACCAAAUAUAAAUAAUAUUUAUUUAUAAUAGAAAAUUAUUAAAUUUAA